UGAUGAUGUCUGGGAUAAGGAUAUUGACAAAGUUAAAGACCUGGAAGCUGUUCAGAUGUUGCAAGACAUUUUUCUAAAGGCUGAUAGCAGGACGCUGCAGGGUGAAGUACUCAACAGAAUGUUCAAAAUAUUCUCAAGCCAUCUUGACAAUUACAAGCUUUGUCAGCAGUUACGGACCGUGCCUCUGUUGAUCCUUAACAUGGAUGGUUUCCCACCAUCCUUGCAAGAGAUAAUUUUGAAGAUACUUGA
rnacentral:misc_RNA from 1 species